UACGAAGGGUGCAAGCGUUAAUCGGAAUUACUGGGCGUAAAGCAUGCGCAGGCGGUUUUGUAAGUCUGACGUGAAAUCCCCGGGCUCAACCUGGGAAUUGCGUUGGAGACUGCAAGGCUGGAGUCUGGCAGAGGGGGGUAGAAUUCCACGUGUAGCAGUGAAAUGCGUAGAGAUCGGGAGGAACACCAGUGGCGAAGGCGGCCUUCUGGACCAAUACUGACGCUCAUGCACGAAAGCGUGGGGAGCAAACAGG
rnacentral:rRNA from 1 species